rnacentral:lncRNA from 1 species
ACCCGGUGGGCGUAUAGUUACUACCACAUGAAUCAUUUUUCUCAUUCUUUUCUAUCAUGGCAAUAUUUCUAACAUCAAUUAUAUCACAUCAAUCCACCACAAUUCAAUUAUAAACACCAAUAACUAUUACCUUGGGGUAUCAAUUUCACCUUUUCUUCUUUAAUUUCUCAAACUCCUUUCUCAAAUUCAUUUUUUUCAAUUAAAGAACUUAGAAGCCUUUUGAAUCAACUUAUGUUUU